rnacentral:rRNA from 1 species
AACGAACGCUGGCGGCGUGCCUAACACAUGCAAGUCGAGGGAGAAAGCCCGCAAGGGUGAGUAAACCGGCGAACGGGUGCGUAACACGUGGAUAAUCUACCUCGGUGACCGGAAUAACUGGCCGAAAGGCUUGCUAAUACCGGAUAAGCCCACGACGUCUUCGGACGACGAGGGAAAAGGUGGCCUCUGCAUGCAAGCUAUCACACCGGGAUGAGUCCGCGGCCCAUCAGCUAGUUGGCGGGGAAUGGCCCACCAAGGCUACGACGGGUAGCUGGUCUGAGAGGAUGAUCAGCCACACUGGAACUGAGACACGGUCCAGACUCCUACGGGAGGCAGCAGUGGGGAAUCUUGCGCAAUGGGCGAAAGCCGUNAUGGUGCGACGCCGCGUGAGGGAUGAAGGCCUCGGUUGUAA